rnacentral:rRNA from 1 species
GACGAACGCUGGCGGCGUGCUUAACACAUGCAAGUCGAACGGAAAGGCCCUGCUUUUGUGGGGUGCUCGAGUGGCGAACGGGUGAGUAACACGUGAGUAACCUGCCCUUGACUUUGGGAUAACUUCAGGAAACUGGGGCUAAUACCGGAUAGGAGCUCCUGCUGCAUGGUGGGGGUUGGAAAGUUUCGGCGGUUGGGGAUGGACUCGCGGCUUAUCAGCUUGUUGGUGGGGUAGUGGCUUACCAAGGCUUUGACGGGUAGCCGGCCUGAGAGGGUGACCGGCACAAUGGGGGUGGGGAUACGGCCAAGACUCCUCGGGGGGGCAGCAGGGGGGAAUAUGGCAAAAGGGGGGGAAGCCUGAUGCAGAAACGCCGGGGGGGGGAUGACGGCCUUCGGGUUGGAACCCGCUUUCGCCUGUGACGAAGCGGGGGUGACGGUAAUGGGUAAAGAAGCACCGGCUAAUUAGGU